rnacentral:rRNA from 1 species
UGGCGGACGGGUGAGUAAUGUCUGGGAAACUGCCCGAUGGAGGGGGAUAACUACUGGAAACGGUAGCUAAUACCGCAUAAUGUCUACGGACCAAAGCGGGGGACCUCCGGGCCUCGCGCCAUCAGAUGAACCCAUAUGGGAUUAGCUAGUAGGUGGGGUAACGGCUCACCUAGGCGACGAUCCCUAGCUGGUCUGAGAGGAUGACCAGCCACACUGGAACUGAGACACGGUCCAG